rnacentral:rRNA from 1 species
UAAUACGUAGGGGGCAAGCGUUGUCCGGAAUCAUUGGGCGUAAAGAGCGUGUAGGCGGUCCGGUUAGUCGGCUGUGAAAGUCCAGGGCUCAACCCUGGGAUGCCGGUCGAUACUGCCGGACUAGAGUCCGGAAGAGGCAAGUGGAAUUCCCGGUGUAGCGGUGAAAUGCGCAGAUAUCGGGAGGAACACCAAUGGCGAAGG